AGUAAAUUGGUUAAGUUAGAAAGGGCGCACGGUGGAUGCCUUGGCACUAGGAGCCGAAGAAGGACGGGACUAACACCGAUAUGCUUUGGGGAGCUGUACGUAAGCGUUGAUCCAGAGAUUUCCGAAUGGGGGAACCCACUAUCUUUAGUCGGAUAGUAUCCUUACGUGAAUACAUAGCGUAAGGAAGGCAGACCCAGGGAACUGAAACAUCUAAGUACCUGGAGGAAGAGAAAGAAAAAUCGAUUUCCUGAGUAGCGGCGAGCGAAACGGAAAGAGCCCAAACCAAGAAGCUUGCUUCUUGGGGUUGUAGGACACUCUAUACGGAGUUACAAAAGAAAGCUAUAAAUGAAGCGGUCUGGAAAG
rnacentral:rRNA from 1 species